AUACGGAGGGUGCAAGCGUUACUCGGAAUCACUGGGCGUAAAGCGCGCGCAGGCGGCUUGAUAAGUUGGAUGUGAAAGCCUACGGCUCAACCGUAGAACUGCAUCCAAAACUGUCAGGCUAGAGUGUGGGAGAGGAAGAUGGAAUUAGUUGUGUAGGGGUAAAAUCCGUAGAGAUAACUAGGAAUACCAAAAGCGAAGGCAAUCUUCUGGAACACUACUGACGCUGAGGCGCGAAGGCGUGGGGAGCAAACAGGAUUAGAAACCCCGGUAGUCC
rnacentral:rRNA from 1 species